CGAGAGGAAGGAGUUUGGAGACAAUGACGCCCUUCGGGGUCUCUGUGAAGGUGCUGCAUGGUUGUCGUCAGCUCGUGCCGUGAGGUGUCGGCUUAAGUGCCAUAACGAGCGCAACCCCUCUCCUUAGUUGCCAUCAGGUCAUGCUGGGCACUCUGGGGACACUGCCACCGUAAGGUGUGA
rnacentral:rRNA from 1 species